UCUACCACUGCCAUAUACUCUACCUUAUUAUAGCAAACAAAGUAAUACUAGACUUUAAAAUUGCUUUUCAACUGAUGACAAAAUCUGAGAGAGUAAAGACAUAACCUAUUAAAGAUCUUCUCCUAUCCAAAUCAUCAAUAUAAUAAGAGUCCAUAUAAGCAAUAAAACUACUGCAAGUGUUUGAACCCCAACUAUGUACCAAACCAACAUCCAUAGUGCCUCUCAAACAGUGUAAGAUCUAUUUCACAGCCU
rnacentral:lncRNA from 1 species